GACGAACCGUGCGAACGUUGUUCGGAAUCACUGGGCUUAAAGGGCGCGUAGGCGGCCAGACCAGUCUGGGGUGAAAUCCAUCGGCUCAACCGGUGGACGGCCUGGGAUACUGUCUGGCUGGAGGGGGGUAGGGGCGACGGGAACGGCCAGUGGAGCGGUGAAAUGCGUUGAGAUUGGCAGGAACGCCGGUGGCGAAAGCGCGUCGCUGGACCCCACCUGACGCUGAGGCGCGAAAGCCAGGGGAGCAAACGGGAUUAGAUACCCCGGUAGUCCUGGCCCUAAACGAUGGGUACUGGGUAGGGGACUGACAUGGGUUCCCUGCCGCAGCGUAAGUGCUAAGUACCCCGCCUGGGGAGUAUGGUCGCAAGGCUGAA
rnacentral:rRNA from 1 species